rnacentral:rRNA from 1 species
ACGGGUGAGUAACACGUAUCCAACUUGCCGUCUACUCUUGGACAGCCUUCUGAAAGGAAGAUUAAUACAAGAUGGCAUCAUGAGUCCGCAUGUUCACAUGAUUAAAGGUAUUCCGGUAGACGAUGGGGAUGCGUUCCAUUAGAUAGUAGGCGGGGUAACGGCCCACCUAGUCUUCGAUGGAUAGGGGUUCUGAGAGGAAGGUCCCCCACAUUGGAACUGAGACACGGUCCAA